AGUGGGGAAUUUUGGACAAUGGGCGCAAGCCUGAUCCAGCAAUGCCGCGUGCAGGAUGAAGGCCUUCGGGUUGUAAACUGCUUUUGUACGGAACGAAAAAGCUCUGGUUAAUACCUGGGGCCCAUGACGGUACCGUAAGAAUAAGCACCGGCUAACUACGUGCCAGCAGCCGCGGUAAUACGUAGGGUGCAAGCGUUAAUCGGAAUUACUGGGCGUAAAGCGUGCGCAGGCGGUUAUGUAAGACAGAGGUGAAAUCCCCGGGCUCAACCUGGGAACUGCCUUUGUGACUGCAUAGCUGGAGUGCGGCAGAGGGGGAUGGAAUUCCGCGUGUAGCAGUGAAAUGCGUAGAUAUGCGGAGGAACACCGAUGGCGAAGGCAAUCCCCUGGGCCUGCACUGACGCUCAUGCACGAAAGCGUGGGGAGCAAACAGGAUUAGAUACCCUGGUAGUCCACGCCCUAAACGAUGUCAACUGGUUGUUGGGAAUUCACUUUCUCAGUAACGAAGCUAACGCGUGAAGUUGA
rnacentral:rRNA from 1 species